rnacentral:telomerase_RNA from 1 species
AACUGGGUGGGCCCGGGAGAUGAGCUGCUUACGAUCAUUAACCCUAAACCGAGUAUAUCGUGAAACGCGAUAUAUUAGCCAGUAGUUGGGGGUAUUUUCGGGCGUUUCCCCUGGGAAUAAAUUAAAAAACGUCCCAGACAAGUGACAGUCUCAUCUCCCACAGUAGUGUCAUUAAACCGGGUGGGUUGGCUUGUAGGUGGUGCUGCACGCUAUGGUUAGCGCCUGCGGUUUACCAAUUCCCAGCCAACCCAACCACCCAACUUUUUU